GACGAACGCUGGCGGCGUGCUUAACACAUGCAAGUCGUACGGUAAGGCCCUUUCGGGGGUACACGAGUGGCGAACGGGUGAGUAACACGUGAGUAACCUGCCCACAACUUUGGGAUAACGCUAGGAAACUGGUGCUAAUACUGGAUAUGUUCUCCUGCUGCAUGGUGGGGGUUGGAAAGCUCCGGCGGUUGUGGAUGGACUCGCGGCCUAUCAGCUUGUUGGUGGGGUAGUGGCCUACCAAGGCGGCGACGGGUAGCCGGCCUGAGAGGGUGACCGGCCACAUUGGGGCUGAGAUACGGCCCAGACUCCUACGGGAGGCAGCAGUGGAGAAUAUUGCACAAUGGGCGCAAGCCUGAUGCAGCAACGCCGCGGGCGGGAUGACGGCCUUCGGGUUGUAAACCGCUUUCAGCAGGGACGAAGCUUUUUGUGACGGUACCUGCAGAAGAAGCACCGGCUAACUACGUG
rnacentral:rRNA from 1 species